GAUGAACGCUGGCGGUAUGCUUAACACAUGCAAGUCGAACGGUCACUUCGGUGAUAGUGGCGGACGGGUGAGUAACGCGUGAGAAUCUGUCUUCAGGUCGGGGACAACAGUUAGAAAUGACUGCUAAUACCGGAUGUGCCGAAAGGUGAAAGAUUUAUUGCCUGAAAAAGAGCUCGCGUCAGAUUAGCUAGUAGGUGGUGUAGGAGACUACCUAGGCGACGAUCUGUAGCUGGUCUGAGAGGACGAUCAGCCACACUGGAACUGAGACACGGUCCAGACUCCUACGGGAGGCAGCAGUGGGGAAUUUUCCGCAAUGGGCGAAAGCCUGACGGAGCAAUACCGCGCGAGGGACGAAGGCUUUUUGGGUCGUAAACCUCUUUUAUUAGGGAAGAUUUCAGGACGGUACCUAAUGAAUAAGCAUCGGCUAACUCUGCGCCAGCAGCCGCGGUAAU
rnacentral:rRNA from 1 species